UUCAUUUCUCAUCCAUUCUGAUUUGCCAUAUCGACAUAUCGAAAGGAAUAAAUUUAUUUUUCUAAUCCUUGAUUUUUUAAUCCUUGAUUUUUUUAACAUAUCAAUUAGUAUAGGAUUAGAUUUUAAAUCAUAUUGAUCGAUUUACAAGACCUAAAUACAAAGAUUGCGCCCCUCUAUACAUUGGUCAAUCUCAAACUCAGAAAUAAAAUGUUUGCCUGUGAUAUGUCUGGAACAAACAUCUUGCAGAUGAGCUCAUUGAGUAUAAGGCUCACUCUGUCUUGAAUGCUGAAUAUGUUGGCUUCCAUGCGGCAGAUAGUUUUAUUUAGGAGGCACGGGCAUCUGAAUACAUCUAUGUUGGCAUGUGUGGGCUUUAUGUUUGAAUUAUGGACAAAAAUAUUUUGCAGAAAAGAGAAGAAAAGUUUAGAUGGAUCUGCCGUUGCUAGGUGCCCAACCCUUAAAGUCCUAUUUAGUAUUUUGUAUAUCCUUCUCCUAGAGUUCCAUGAAAUUGACAAGAAAAAAGUGAAAUAUAUUGGGAUACGGAUUCCCUGCCUU